AAUACACCAGGAAGCAAUAACAAUUUUUACAAUAUCAUCUUAAGAGAUUGGCGAAUAAAACCUAUCAUUCAUAAUCUGCUUCAAAUAUUUCAUCAUGAGCUGGAGAUUGAACGCCUACACCAUUGCAGUGGUCUUUGAUGUAUCUUGGAAAAUUUCUUGUGGUUAUAGUGGUAGCCCAAAUUUCCUGUAUCCAAACCUGAGUACUUAAAAGGAAUUAGCAAAGUCAUUAUAACUUGCAUCACCAUUGCCAAAAUAUGCUUGCUGCUUAGUUUUUUUUUAAUUUUAAUUCACUUUUUUUAAAAUAAUAAUGAAAUAUACGGACACAAAUAUUAACAUAGUCAAAAAAAAAAUUGCGUUACACAUAAACACAACUUCUGUAAUUUUGGGCACCUGUCGCACAAAAUAUAACCCCAAAAUAAAAGCUGAGCUUAAGUGCGACAUGUGUCAGUCACACCAAAUACAAGUGCGACAAGCGCCAGUCGCACUAAACACGACCACAAAACAGAAGUUUUGUUUACGUGCGACAGGCAAAUGCAAGUGCGACAGAAGCUGUGUUAAGAGCGAUAGGUCUAUCGUACACAAACAACCACAACACUGCACAUAAACACCCUCUACACAAUAUCAUUGCUCACAUUCAACCCCAGUACCGUUGCUGGUUGCCCACACUCUUAGAUAUUCAUUCAAGUAAAAUAAAGCAAAAUUAAACCUAAACAACAAAAUAUAUUCUUUGAGGUAUUUCAACAUACACUAGUAGUGCCAUAUUUAACAAUUUCAAGAACAUUUUGUCAAUUUUCAUUUCCAAUUCAAUCCUAGUGUUAAGAAACUAACGUUGAAUAAGAUUUAACCUAUAAUCAUCUACAAUUAAUACUAAAACAAUAAACCCAUUCAAGAAUUACAUAAACUCACCGAAUUAACUCAAAGUUAAAGGCGCCACCGUUAUCCUUGUCGGAAGUAGCCAUUACCAUCAUCAUGUCGACUCGCCAUUACCUUUGCC
rnacentral:lncRNA from 1 species